CCUACGGGGGACAGCAGUGAGGAAUAUUGGUCAAUGGACGAGAGUCUGAACCAGCCAAGUAGCGUGAAGGAUGACUGCCCUAUGGGUUGUAAACUUCUUUUAUAUGGGAAUAAAAUGUUCCACGUGUGGGAUUUUGUAUGUACCAUAUGAAUAAGGAUCGGCUAACUCCGUGCCAGCAGCCGCGGUAAUACGGAGGAUCCGAGCGUUAUCCGGAUUUAUUGGGUUUAAAGGGAGCGUAGGUGGAUUGUUAAGUCAGUUGUGAAAGUUUGCGGCUCAACCGUAAAAUUGCAGUUGAAACUGGCAGUCUUGAGUACAGUAGAGGUGGGCGGAAUUCGUGGUGUAGCGGUGAAAUGCUUAGAUAUCACGAAGAACUCUGAUUGCGAAGGCAGUUCACUGGACUGCAACUGACACUGAGGCUCGAAAGUGUGGGUAUCAAACAGGAUUAGAUACCCUUGUAGUC
rnacentral:rRNA from 1 species